GACGAACGCUGGCGGCGUGCCUAAUACAUGCAAGUAGAACGCACAGUUUAUACCGUAGCUUGCCACACCAUAGACUGUGAGUUGCGAACGGGUGAGUAACGCGUAGGUAACCUGCCUGGUAGCGGGGGAUAACUAUUGGAAACGAUAGCUAAUACCGCAUAAUAUUAAUUAUUGCAUGAUAAUUAAUUGAAAGGUGCAAUUGCACCACUACCAGAUGGACCUGCGUUGUAUUGGCUAGUAGGUGAGGUAACGGCUCACCUAGGCGACGAUACAUAGCCGACCUGAGAGGGUGAUCGGCCACACUGGGACUGAGACACGGCCCAGACGCCUACGGGAGGCAGCAGUAGGGAAUCUUCGGCAAUGGACGAAAGUCUGACCGAGCAACGCCGCGUGAGUGAAGAAGGUUUUCGGAUCGUAAAGCUCUGUUGUAAGAGAAGAACGGGUGUGAGAGUGGAAAGUUCACACUGUGACGGUAUCUUACCAGAAAGGGACGGCUAACUACGUG
rnacentral:rRNA from 1 species